rnacentral:rRNA from 1 species
UACGAAGGUGGCAAGCGUUGUUCGGAUUUACUGGGCGUACAGGGAGCGUAGGCGGUUGGAUAAGCCCUCCGUGAAAUCUCCAGGCUUAACCUGGAAAGUGCAGAGGGGACUGUUCAGCUAGAGGAUGGGGGAGGAGCGCGGAAUUCCCGGUGUAGCGGUGAAAUGCGUAGAGAUCGGGAGGAAGGCCGGUGGCGAAGGCGGCGCUCUGGAACAUUUCUGACGCUGAGGCUCGAAAGCGUGGGGAGCAAACAGGG